GACAGAGGGUGCAAACGUUGUUCGGAAUUACUGGGCGUAAAGCGCGUGUAGGCUGCUUCGAAAGUCGGAUGUGAAAGCCCUGGGCUCAACCUAGGAAGUGCAUUCGAAACUUCGAAGCUUGAGUUCUGGAGAGGAAGGCGGAAUUCUCGGUGUAGAGGUGAAAUUCGUAGAUAUCGAGAGGAACACCAGUGGCGAAGGCGGCCUUCUGGACAGUGACUGACGCUGAGACGCGAAAGCGUGGGGAUCAAACAGG
rnacentral:rRNA from 1 species